GAUGAACGCUGGCGGCGUGCUUAACACAUGCAAGUCGAACGGAAAGGCUCCUGCUUGCAGGGGUACUCGAGUGGCGAACUGGUGAGUAACACGUGGGUGAUCUGCCCUGCACUUCGGGAUAAGCCUGGGAAACUGGUUCUAAUACCGGAUAGGACGAUGGGUUGGAUGCCAUUGUGGAAAGUUUUUCGGUGUGGGUUGAGCUCGCGGCCUAUCAGCUUGUUGGUGGGGUAAUGGCCUACCAAGCCGCCGACGGGUAGCCGGCCUGAGAGGGUGUACGGCCACAUUGGGACUGAGAUACGGCCCAGACUCCUACGGGAGGCAGCAGUGGAGAAUAUUGCACAAUGGGCGCAAGCCUGAUGCGGCGACGCCGCGUGGGGGAUGACGGCCUUCGGGUUGUAAACUCCUUUCGCUAGGGACGAAGCGCAAGUGACGGUACCUGGAGAAGAAGCACCGGCUAACUACGUG
rnacentral:rRNA from 1 species